rnacentral:rRNA from 1 species
UGGGGAAUAUUGGACAAUGGGCGAAAGCCUGAUCCAGCCAUGCCGCGUGUGUGAAGAAGGUCUUCGGAUUGUAAAGCACUUUAAGUUGGGAGGAAGGGCAGUAAGUUAAUACCUUGCUGUUUUGACGUUACCAAAAGAAUAAGCACCGGAUAACUUCGUGCCAGCAGCCGAGGUAAUAAGAAGGGUGCAAGCGUUAAUCGGAAUUACUGGGCGUAAAGCGCGCGUAGGUGGUUUGGUAAGAUGGAUGUGAAAUCCCCGGGCUCAACCUGGGAACUGCAUCCAUAACUGCCUGACUAGAGUACGGUAGAGGGUGGUGGAAUUUCCUGUGUAGCGGUGAAAUGCGUAGAUAUAGGAAGGAACACCAGUGGCGAAGGCGACCACCUGGACUGAUACUGACACUGAGGUGCGAAAGCGUGGGGAGCAAACA